UGGAGUCAGAGUGAGCUCAGCCGGUCGGCUCCAUGGGUCAGAACUGGUCGACUCUCUCUUGUUUGUGGAUCCCGCCCGGAGUUAACUCUUCGGGAUGUGGAGUUCACAUCGUUUACCUUGAAAAAAUUAGAGUGUUCAAAGCAGGCGUUUGCUUGAAUAUAUUAGCAUGGAAUAAUGGAAUAGGACCCUGGUUCUAUUUUGUUGGUUUUGAGAACCAGAGUAAUGAUUAAUAGGGAUAGUUGGGGGCAUUCAUAUUUCAUUGUCAGAGGUGAAAUUCUUGGAUUUAUGAAAGAUGAACUUCUGCGAAAGCUUUGCCAAGGAUGUUUUCAUUAAUCAAGAACGAAAGUUAGGGGAUCGAAGACGAUCAGAUACCGUCGUAGUCUUUAACCAUAAAACUAUGCCGACUAGGGGAUUGGGCGUGGGUUUGUUCAUUUGACCCGCUCAGCACCUUACGAGAAAACAAAGUCUUUGGGUUCCGGGGGGGAGUAUGGUCGCAGGGUUGAAACUUAAAGGAAUUGACGGAAGGGCACCACCCAGGAGGGGGAGGCCUGCGGGUUUAAUUUUGACUCCACACGGGGAAAACUUACCAGGGCCCAGACAUAGUAAGGAUUGGCAAGAUUGAGAGCUUCUUUCUUUGAUUCUAUGGGUGGUGGUGCAUGGGCCGUUCUUAGGUGGGGGAGUGAUUUGUCUUGGUUAAUUCCCGAUAACGAACGAGACCUUUAACCUACUAAAUAGUUACGCCGAUACUUUUUGUAUUCGGGGAACAAAUUUCCUUAGAGGGACUAUCCGUGGUUCAACCGGG
rnacentral:rRNA from 1 species